GUGCUUGCUUCGGCAGCACAUAUACUAAAAUUGGAAUGACACAGAGAAGAUUAGCACGGCCCCUGCACAAGGAUGACCCAUAAUGGAUCAAGAGUAAAAUAAUUUUUUU